rnacentral:rRNA from 1 species
AAAUAAAAAAAUUAGUGUCUGCUUGCAGAACUUGCAUACAGGUGCUGCACGGCUGUCGUCAGCUCGUGUCGUGAGAUGUUGGGUUAAGUCCCGCAACGAGCGCAACCCUCGUCCUUAGUUGCUAACAGUUCGGCUGAGAACUCUAAGGAGACUGCCUACGCAAGUAGGAGGAAGGUGAGGAUGACGUCAAGUCAUCAUGGCCCUUACGUCCAGGGCUACACACGUGCUACAAUGGGGUAUACAAAGAGCAGCAAUACGGUGACGUGGAGCAAAUCUCAAAAAUGCCUCCCAGUUCGGAUUGUAGUCUGCAACUCGACUACAUGAAGUUGGAAUCGCUAGUAAUCGUAGAUCAGCUAUGCUACGGUGAAUACGA